rnacentral:lncRNA from 1 species
AAGGUUUUAAGUGCGGUCCAGGUAAUAGUCCUUUUCACACUUAUGAUGAAUCAAUGUGUAUAUAGAAACAAAUAAAGAAAACGGGCAAAGUUAGUAGAAGGCUUAGCCCUCAACACGAUUUUGGUAAAUCCUAAGGGUUUGUUUACGAGUUGAGUUUUUAAGGCUUCAGAGUUAUCUCAUAAGUAUAUUUCUUCAUUUUCCUUUCCUUUCCCUCCAAAAAAUCAUGCUCGCAAAUAGAUCCUAUGUUCCCGACUAUAGGGAAUUGAAAGGGCUUGAGGGGUGUUUAGAAGAGCUUAUUUCCGCUUAUUAUCUUAUCAUGUAUUCAUUUAAGCAAUUGUUUGGGAGUGCUCAUGAAAAUAGCUAUGACCAUUUACAAGAUUUUUUUUAGCUCAUUUUAAUAAAUUUGCGGGGGAAGCUUGCGACAUCGGUUGAAAAGAACAUAUAGGAAGUUCAUAACUUGUGAUCAAUGCUAUUGUGGAUAAACACUUCAUUAAGUUGUUUACGUGAAUGUGCCCUUGGACCUAAGGACAGAACAUAAUAGUGUCAUUUUAUCUAUGUAGUCAAUCCAACGUAAUAACAAAAUGUUUAAUUUUGUUGUUGUUAGCUCUCUUUAUAAGCUCUGGGCCUUCUGCUAAACCUUAAGCAACAUGAUUUCAUAGGCAUGCCGGUGCUGCAAUAUUAAUCAUGAGAAAUAUUAUGCUUAACUUUUCUCAUUCUGAGCAGAUUGCAAACCAUGCUGCUGGGAAAGUAUACGAAAUGGCGAAGAUGGAUCAAGGGGUGAAUAAAGUGGUGAGUGAAGCCAAUAAAGCAGCAAAUGCAGCGCGAGUUGCAGCCGUAAAGGCUGUGCAAAAUAAGAUGCACCAUAUUCCAUCAUAGUUUGCAUGCAGAUAGAUCAUUACUAUGAAUGAGAAGCAAAAGAAAGGAUAUUGAAUGCAUGGAAGAAUAACCAUGAUAUGAAACUUGAUUGAUAUGGGACCUGUUUGGUUUAAGAAAAUAUUUUCUCUUCUUAUUUUCUGUUUCCAUUAAUAAAUACAAGUGUUACAUCCUAUUUUCAUUUGUUUCAGAUUUUCAAAGAUUUGUAUAAAAUAUGGAAAACAAUGUUUUUUACAGUUUUCCUGUAUCAAUCUUUGAAAAAUUAUGAAAAAAUGAAAAUAAUGUGACAUGCAUAUAUUUAUUAGUGAAAACAUGGAAUGUUUUGUUAAACCAUACAUGCCACAAGUGUUGUAUCUUUUGUUCCCAUUUUUUGUCCUGGUAAAGCUGCAAGGUGCCUUCUUGGAACCACCUUUCAGUAAUAGGUUCCUCAAUUUUAGUGGCUGCUUUAUAUGUAUAGGAAGAGUAAGGAUUAUAGAGUUAUGUAAUGUGUAAGACAAAAGUGCCCAAAAAUGGGUUUGUAAGUUGCAUUUCAUAUGUGAAUGUUUUUAGAUUGGUCCUCUAAAAAAAAA